rnacentral:rRNA from 1 species
UAGCUAGUUGGUGAGGUAACGGCUUACCAAGGCGACGAUCUGUAGCGGGUCUGAGAGGAUGAUCCGCCACACUGGAACUGAGACACGGUCCAGACUCCUACGGGAGGCAGCAGUGGGGAAUUUUGGACAAUGGGGGCAACCCUGAUCCAGCCAUGCCGCGUGAGUGAAGAAGGCCUUCGGGUUGUAAAGCUCUUUCGGCCGGGAAGAAAUCGCAUGGGCCAAUACCCUGUGUGGAUGACGGUACCGGAAUAAGAAGCACCGGCUAACUACGUGCCAGCAGCCGCGGUAAUACGUAGGGUGCGAGCGUUAAUCGGAAUUACUGGGCGUAAAGCGUGCGCAGGCGGUUUUGUAAGACAGGCGUGAAAUCCCCGGGCUCAACCUGGGAACUGCGUUUGUGACUGCAAGGCUAGAGUACGGCAGAGGGGGGUGGAAUUCCACGUGUAGCAGUGAAAUGCGUAGAGAUGUGGAGGAACACCAAUGGCGAAGGCAGCCCCCUGGGUCGAUACUGACGCUCAUGCACGAAAGCGUGGGUAGCAAACAGGAUUAGAUACCCUGGUAGUCCACGCCCUAAACUAUGUCAACUAGGUGUUGGGUGGGUAAAACCAUUUAGUACCGUAGCUAACGCGUGAAGUUGACCGCCUGGGGAGUACGGCCGCAAGGUUAAAACUCAAAGGAAUUGACGGGGACCCGCACAAGCGGUGGAUGAUGUGGAUUAAUUCGAUGCAACGCGAAAAACCUUACCUACCCUUGACAUGCCAGGAACUUGCCAGAGAUGGCUUGGUGCCCGAAAGGGAGCCUGGACACAGGUGCCGCAUGGCUGCCGUCAGCUCGUGUCGUGAGAUGUUGGGUUAAGUCCCGCAACGAGCGCAACCCUUGUCGUUAAUUGCCAUCAUUUAGUUGGGCACUUUAGCGAGACUGCCGGUGACAAACCGGAGGAAGGUGGGGAUGACGUCAAGUCCUCAUGGCCCUUAUGGGUAGGGCUUCACACGUCAUACAAUGGUCGGUACAAAGGGUCGCCAAGCCGCGAGGUGGAGCCAAUCCCAGAAAGCCGAUCGUAGUCCGGAUUGCAGGCUGCAACUCGCCUGCAUGAAGUCGGAAUCGCUAGUAAUCGUGGAUCAGCAUGUCACGGUGAAUACGUUCCCGGGUCUUGUACACACCGCCCGUCACACCAUGGGAGCGGGUUCCGCCAGAAGUAGGUAGCCUAACCGCAAGGAGGGCGCUUACCACGGCGGGGUUCGUGACUGGGGUGAAGUCGUAACAAGGUAGCCGUAGGGGAACCUGCGGCUG